rnacentral:lncRNA from 1 species
UUGAAGGCUCAAACCAAGUUAAAAUCGAAAAUCGAGCAUAGAUUAUUGAUCCCCAUUGCAAGGGGGUUGUAAGUUUGACUCUGACAAGCUAGGUAGGAGCUUGGAAAUGAACGGGUCAAAUGGAUACAAGUUCAAGUAUGAAGCUCGCAAGGAUGCAAGGAGUAGAUAUCCAAUGGAUACUCGCAUCGCUCUUAAUUAGCAAUUAUAAAGCAAGGUAUUA